rnacentral:rRNA from 1 species
UACGAAGGGGGCUAGCGUUGUUCGGAAUUACUGGGCGUAAAGCGCGCGCAGGCGGUUCUUCAAGUCAGUGGUGAAAGCCCGUCGCUUAACGGCGGAACUGCCAUUGAUACUGCUAGUCUUGAGUAUGGUUGAGGUGGGCGGAAUGUGUCAUGUAGCGGUGAAAUGCUUAGAUAUGACCCAGAACACCAAUUGCGAAGGCAGCUCGCUAAGCCAUAACUGACGCUGAGGCACGAAAGCGUGGGGAGCAAACAGG